UGCACCUCUCCUACGGGAGGCAGCAGUAACGAAUCUUCCCCAAUGGGCGCAAGCCUGAGGGAGCGACGCCGCGUGGAGGAUGAAGUCCUUCGGGAUGUAAACUCCUGUCAGGGGUUACCAAGAUACUGAGGAGCCCCAAAGGAAGAGGCGGCUAACUCUGUGCCAGCAGCCGCGGUAAGACAGAGGCCUCGAGCGUUAGGCGGAAUCACUGGGCUUAAAGCGUGUGUAGGCGGAUCGUUAAGUGCCUUGUGAAAUCCCACGGCUUAACUGUGGAACGGCUGGGCAUACUGGCGGUCUUGAGCCAUCUAGGGGCGACUGGAACAAACGGUGGAGCGGUGAAAUGCGUAGAUAUCGUUUGGAACGCCAAUGGUGAAAACAGGUCGCUGGGGAUGAGCUGACGCUGAGACACGAAAGCCAA
rnacentral:rRNA from 1 species